rnacentral:tRNA from 1 species
GGCCGCCUGAAGGGAAUUCGGCAUACCUGUCCGGCUCAGACCCGGACGAGUCCCGGUUCGAGUCCGGGGGCGGCUACCA